UAGGGAAUAUUGGUCAAUGGAGGCAACUCUGAACCAGCCAUGCCGCGUGUAGGAAGAAGGCGUUCUGCGUUGUAAACUACUUUUGAUUGGGAACAAAUGACUCUUGCGAGAGUAGCUGAGUGUACCAAUAGAAUAAGCCACGGCUAACUACGUGCCAGCAGCCGCGGUAAUACGUAGGUGGCAAGCGUUGUCCGGAUUUAUUGGGUUUAAAGGGUGCGUAGGCGGCUUGAUAAGUCAGUGGUGAAAGCCGAUCGCUUAACGAUCGAACUGCCAUUGAUACUGCCAGGCUUGAGUAUAGUUGAGGUAGGCGGAAUUGACAGUGUAGCGGUGAAAUGCAUAGAUAUUGUCAAGAACACCAAUUGCGAAGGCAGCUUACUAAAGUAUAACUGACGCUGAGGCACGAAAGUGCGGGGAUCAAACAG
rnacentral:rRNA from 1 species